rnacentral:rRNA from 1 species
AGAGCGAACGCUGGCGGCAUGCUCAACACAUGCAAGUCGCACGGGCAGGGGUAACUCUGUCAGUGGCGGACGGGUGAGUAACGCGUAGGUAUCUAUCUCUGGGUGGGGGACAACUGUGGGAAACUACAGCUAAUACCGCAUGACACCUGAGGGUCAAAGGCGCAAGUCGCCUGGAGAGGAGCCUGCGUACGAUUAGCUAGUUGGUGGGGUAAAGGCCUACCAAGGCGACGAUCGUUAGCUGGUCUGAGAGGAUGAUCAGCCACAUUGGGACUGAGACACGGCCCAAACUCCUACGGGAGGCAGCAGUGGGGAAUAUUGGACAAUGGGCGAAAGCCUGAUCCAGCAAUGCCGCGUGUGUGAAGAAGGUCUUCGGAUUGUAAAGCACUUUCGACGGGGACGAUGAUGACGGUACCCGUAGAAGAAGCCCCGGCUAACCUCGUGCCAGCAGCCGC